UACGGAGGGUGCUAGCGUUGUUCGGAAUUACUGGGCGUAAAGGGCACGUAGGCGGCCGGUUGCGUCGGAUGUGAAAGCCCGGGGCUCAACCUCGGAACGGCAUUCGAUACGGGACGGCUGGAGUCCGGGAGAGGAGAGUGGAAUAGCCAGUGUAGAGGUGAAAUUCGUAGAUAUUGGCUGGAACACCGGUGGCGAAAGCGGCUCUCUGGCCCGGUUCUGACGCUGAGGCGCGAAAGCGUGGGGAGCAAACAGG
rnacentral:rRNA from 1 species